rnacentral:rRNA from 1 species
AAGCGAAAGUGAUAAGUAUCCCACCUGGGGAGUACGGUCGCAAGACUGAAACUCAAAGGAAUUGACGGGGGCCCGCACAAGCGGUGGAGCAUGUGGUUUAAUUCGAUGAUACGCGAGGAACCUUACCAGGGCUUAAAUGUAGUCUGACAGCAAAAGAGAUAGA